rnacentral:rRNA from 1 species
GAGCGGAUGACGGGAGCUUGCUCCUUGAUUCAGCGGCGGACGGGUGAGUAAUGCCUAGGAAUCUGCCUGGUAGUGGGGGACAACGUUUCGAAAGGAACGCUAAUACCGCAUACGUCCUACGGGAGAAAGCAGGGGACCUUCGGGCCUUGCGCUAUCAGAUGAGCCUAGGUCGGAUUAGCUAGUUGGUGGGGUAAUGGCUCACCAAGGCGACGAUCCGUAACUGGUCUGAGAGGAUGAUCAGUCACACUGGAACUGAGACACGGUCCAGACUCCUACGGGAGGCAGCAGUGGGGAAUAUUGGACAAUGGGCGAAGGCCUGAUCCAGCCAUGCCGCGUGUGUAAAGAAGGUCUUCGGAUUGUAAAGCACUUUAAGUUGGGAGGAAGGGCAGUAAGUUAAUACCUUGCUGUUUUGACGUUACCGACAGAAUAAGCACCGGCUAACUCUGUG